rnacentral:lncRNA from 1 species
UUGAAUAUGUAUAAGAAGGAAUGUCGCUUCAUCAAUAGCCACUCCCUCGAUAAGCAUGCCUUGAGGAGUUCCAUGUUGGAGAUGCCAUACUUCUCAGUAACCAGCGCAGCAGGAUGGGCUUUGCUUUUGUCAUAAGGAACUCCAAGGUCAUCAAAAAGUUGUUGCCCAACAGGAAAGUUGCUUAAGUGUCCUGCAAAUUCAACCACUGAAAUAUAUUGGUAAGGUUCAUUUUUCUGAACCAAUACGGUUCUUGGUCCUUUAGAGAAGUAACCUCUUGCAGAAAGUCAGCAACUCCUUUCCUUUCCGGGCAUUUGAAUCCAACACUCUCGAAAAACUCCAGUACAUUCUCACGUGGACCUUGGUAGACAACUUUUCCCUCAGAAAGCAAUAUAAUAUCAUCGAAAAGAUGAUAGGUUUCUGGUGCAGGUUGAAGAAGAGAGAUUAUCAUGGUUACAUCCAUGAUAUGGACCAUCUGCCUCAUGAAUUUCACAAUUUGAAAUGUGGUUGAACUGUCAAGACCAGUUGAUAUUUCAUCCAUAAAGAAAACUUUAGCAAGGCCAACCAACAUUUCUCCUGCACAUUAAAUGUGGUCACAAGGCACAUGUACUAGAAUAAACUCGGCAAGCGGGAUAAAAAAUGUCAUAUGAUGAUCUCCCCCCUUUGAUUGACGUGACAAUUCUACAUACCUAUUGUGAGCAGCUUCUUCUGUCCACCAGAAAUACCCCUUCUCAUUUCAUCACCGACCAUUAUAUCAGCACAUAUGUCCAUCCCAAGUAUCUGUAAUUCACUUCAAUAAUCAGCUCUAGGUGGUUUGUACAUGCAGGAAUGAUUACGAGUGAAAGCAUAAGUCUAACCUUAAGAACAUAGUCGGUGACAAGACUAGAUUCUUGGACUUCAAUGGCUAUAGCUUUCAUAAAUGAAUCUAUUUCAGGAUGAGAUUUGAUUCCUGCAUCCUUUUCAUGCCUUGACAAUUCAGUAAGGAGCUCAUACCUUGUUCCAACUCCUAAACAACGUCCUGCAAAAUCCAACGUCUAUCUAACUGUCAACUCUCCAUGAUGAAUGUCAUGCUGACUAAUAUAAGCACAUGUUCUUUGAGGGAUGAAGUCUGAUAGUUCAUGACACAGUAACUGAUUCUUCCGUUCACCUAAAAUAACACAUUUUGUCACACGACUUAGAUUAAAACUUUCAGGCCACAUAUUGGAAGUUCGAAAGUCACUCACUCUUAGGUCCUUGUCUAGCACCCCAGCAAGUGCUUUUAGCAAUGUUGUUUUUCCAGAACCAGGAGGCCCCAGAAGUAACGUCAUCCUAUAUAAUUCAAGAACUGCAGAAUCAAUGGAAGUUCUUAUCUCCAUAAGACUAAAUAAAGUAAUAUAUUGUGUUUUUACCCUUGAGAUAUACCUAGAAUUCUUCAGUGUCCAUAAUAUAAAUUCAUGAGUUCAACUGUAAAUGCAACUGUAGUUUGACGAACAUACCUUGACGGUCUUACAAUUCCAUUCACAUCACUCAGUAUGUUGACAACCUUUUUCUUUGAAGGGACAAUCUUGAUAUUUUCAAGAAACCCCUAUGAAAUUUGAAUACGGGGAAAAAAAUGAAUUCACCAAUACAAGUACCAAACUAUAUCAGGUAAACUUUAACAAGUACAACGAAGAAAAAGGUUACAAAAAAAAAGUUUUAACAAGUACAACAGAACUAAAGGAAACAAAGGAAUUGUUGUCAAUAUACUUCAACAACAACGACAACUAACCCGGUAUAAUCUCACAGGUGGGGUCCGAGAAGGUAGUAUGUACGCAAACCUUACCCCUAUCUCCACUCAAGGAGAGAUGAAAAAGAGGCAGUAAUAACAGACAGCAACAACAACAAGAUAUGAGAAAGAAACAAUCAGAUAGAACUAAAGAUCUACGAAUAAGCAACUUAGAGAUAAAACUUAUACUCCUAAAUUAUCGUAGAUUAAACUGAAAUGAAAUAGUACCUCUACGAAAUUGAUUGAAGCAUUCCAGAGAGUAGGCAAUGCUAUAGAUCCAACAUAUGCAUCUCCAUCAAUACAUAGAUGCUCAAAACGAACGUCAACUUUCGGAAUAUCAAUUCCGACCCUGGUUCAUACAUACAUAUACAUACAUGAUUAACACAUAAUUCACUAAGAUCAAUGAAAUUUGUCACUACAUAUAUUUGUUUUCGCAAUCACCUAUCAAUCCUGUCUCUGAGUCUUCUAAAAAGCUUCUCGUCAUCUUCCUCGACAACUUUAAGAAUAUUUUCUAAUAUCUGUUUCCUGUCUUGUAAUCCAAGAUGAACAACAUCAACUUCAUGAUAAUUAGUCUUCCCAACAUCCAAUGUUUGCUUCAAAAUCCCUUUCCUUAGCCUAUCAUAGGUUGGAAGUCUCUCAAUAGCAGCCCAUUUUAGCUCUUGUUCGUCAUCGUUUUCUCUUGUACUUUUCUGAAAAACAUCACCUCCUGGUGCAGGAAACAUUAUUUCUCUAACACUAGCUGAUGCCCAACUCCUUGAACUUACUGAUCGAAAACUCGGCCUCCUUUUGCUCUUACUCAUGGACCGCCGGCUUCCCAGCCCAUCCCGGCCUAAUGUUGCAUCCAUCUUUACUCUCUCUAAGAACUCAAAAACAAAUAUUCCCUUUAAAUUCUCUGUUCCAAUGAACUUUCUGCCACCCGCAAAAGAUCGAAAUUCACUUGAUCAUACCUAAAAACAGAGAAAAACAAAAAGAAUAAAACUUAAACUGUCGUUCACCCAACUGAUUAAACUAAAAGUAGCAAGUGAAUGUAUAAUAUAUGUAUACUUCAUGUACAAUAUGUGUAUGAUCAUGUAUAAUCAAUGUAUGAUUUAUAUGUAUCGACUAGAGUAAGUAAACAGUAAAUUUUCCAACUGCUUAUGUUAACAUAACACAUUACUCCAAUUCUCUAACUUAUAACAGAAAUCCAAGUAGCAUAAAUAAGAAAACAAACUCAACUUUUUCUGUUCAACCUUAAAGGUUCUUAUCAUUCAACACAUUUAAUUCAGACGUACCGUUCGUUAAUUUUUACACAUAAAUAUAUGUUCGGCGUCAAAAAUGUAAAUCUACAUCCACCGCUAGCACAAAAAUCAAGAAAGUUGAUGGAACUUUAAAAGAAAAAAUAUGAAGAACAUGCCAAGAAAUGUAACAGUAUAGAAGAAGUAUUAGGAAUUUUCAAACACUUCAUGGAAUGAACAACUUUUGGAUACACCAUUUAUGCAUUAAAACUUAUAUUACUAUAUGUGGAAAAGUGUUUUGUGUAUAAAUAGAUCUACUAUAUAGGGUUGGCAUGGUAGUGGGGCUUGUGGGGUUGAAAAAAGAAAUAAAUUUGGUUAGGCAAAUAGCUAAUGCAUGAAAAGUUUUGAACUUUUUUUAUUUUCCAUCCAACUCUAUUGAGAGUGGAUGCCUUUGAUUAAAAUCAAAAAUUACAAACAAAAGAGGAAAGCCUCCCUGCACCUACUAAGAAUGGGACAUUCCCCAUUCUAUGGUAAAGUAGGAUUUCUAAUAAGCUCCCAAAAUCAUAAGGAGGUAUAAGACCUCUUCUAUACAUAACCCUCAGGGGACAUCAAAAGUAUAAAAGCUAUACAUGUCUCUUCCCAUAGAGAUAGAGUUCUUUUUGGUAAUCGUUCUAAGGGAUGGAACGCCCAUCCUAUUCAUAUUAACCUCUCCUCUGGCUUCUGUUGGCAAAUUGUGAUGGCGAGUGAUCCAUAUAAUAUUUUCAUAUUGCAGGCCGCAAUUUGCCAAGCAAUCAGCUACUUUAUUCCCUUCUCUAUAGCAAUGUUGUAUGCACCAAUUAUCCAGUUGCAUCAACAUAUCCUUUAUGCCGGAAAUCUUGUUCCAUAGGUUCCAUGGAAUAUCAAUAUUAUUAUUAAUCCAAUCCAUCAAGAGCUUGGAAUCAACCUCUAUUUCUAAGUUCUUGAUACCAUUAGUUACACACCAUUGUAGACCAAUUUCCAGGGCAUGUAUUUCAGCCAUGUUAUUAGUGAGAAUACCUAGAGAAACUCCAUAAGCUAUCUUCAUAUGGCCAUACUCAUCUCUAACUAUGCCACCUCCUCCACUCGGACCUGGAUUUCCUUUCAAACAACCAUCUGUAUUAAGUUUGUAAAAAUUAGCCUUUGGUCUAUUCCAUGUGAUAGGAAUUUAGAUGGUCUUUUCUUUGGCAUUCUUUGUAUUGUAAAAUUGCUCCCAUGACAUAAAUGGAUUUAUGUCGCUGAAUUGUUUAUGAGCAAUCAUCACUGUCUGAAUGUUGAUGUGUACAAUAAUGCUCCUGGUAUUCAUAUGAAUGUCCUCAAAUCUAUGUUUGCACCUAGCCUUCCAUAUCUGCCAAAUAAUGACACUACGUAGAAUCUGUAGCAGCAUCUUUUGAACAGGAUUAAUUCCCUCAGAGAUCCACCAAUUCAUCAACAGCAACCUCAAAUUGCUAUGUCUCCGGUUUACACCAAAAAGUCUGUUGUAGUGUUUCCAUAUAUAUUGUGCUAUACGUCCAUUGUAGAACAAGUGUUCCAAAUUUUCCUGCUCAUAAGACCUGCAACAACAACAUCUAGAAGGAAGGUGGACUUUGAAUCUUGUAAGGUUUAGAUCCACUGCCACCUCGUUAUGUAAGACUUUCCAUAGGAAAAAGGAAAUCUUGUAAUGUUUCUUGUUAUGCCAAACCAUUCUAUUAACUAGAGAGGUAUUACCUCUUUUCCUUAAGAAAUUCCAAGCAGAUUUACUAGUAAAUUUUCCAUCUGAGUUGACUUUCCAUAUUGGAACGUCCUCGAGAUUGGAAAAUUUAAUGGUAAUUACAAAGUCAACAGGAAGAACUUGGUUAAGUUUGUUAAUAUUCCAUUCUCCAUUAUGCAUGAAAUCUGAAACUUUAAUUCUAAUGGAAGUAGAGACAUUAAAAAUUUGAGAAAGUCUACCAAUAUCUGUCUAAUUGUCCCACCAAAAGUUGGAAUUGCCCUUGUUAAUCCUCCAAUAUAUCAAAUGGUCUAUUUCAUUCUUGAUCUUCAUCAUUCUUCUCCAACUAUGACGAUGCUUAUAACUCCACUUCCUAGCCACUGGGUGAAUUCUUUUAGAGUAUUUGGAUUUCAUGAACUUAGUCCAAAGAGUUUCGUUGGUCCUAAACUGCCACCAAAUCUUGGCGCUUGAGCUUUUAGAAAUGUCCAAUGUUGAUCUUAUGCCAAUACCACCCUCUUCUUUAGGAUAAUAUAACUUAUCCCAAGCUGCCCAAUAAUAUUUCGGCUUCCCCUCUUUGCUUCCCCAUAGAAAGUUGGCAAACAUCUUCUCCAUUUGGUAUAUAACAGUCUUUGGGGGCUUACAAAUAGAGAGCAUAUAUACUGUAACACCCCAUACUUUCAGACUUGAACGUAAAUUGUCAUUUCUACUUGUACACAUUCCAAAAACCAUAAAUCUAUUGUGAAUAUAGUGUUUUAAUCAACUAUGUGGUGUAUAAAUCUAGUUGAGCAUGAAUUGAGAUCAUAGAGGUCCCCCUAACUCAAGGACGAGUUGAAAGCUUUUCCAUCGAUUGAGUUUUAGUAAGCGUCAAAACUUGGGUCAACUUCAAUCGGUCAUUACUCUUUGUAUAUAUUGAAUUAGAGUGCCUACUAUAUAUAAAAUAAAAGGCCUUCUAAUUAUCUUUCCAACGAUACCAAUUUCGCAAAAAUCCGACACCCGAGAAAGAAGUUAUGGCUUUGCAAAGUAGAGUGUGUCGUGCAGCAUAAGGUGUGCGACGCACACCCUAACUUAUGCCAUAAAGUGUGCGACGCACAACCUAAUGUGUGCGAUAAAGAGUACGCCGCACAACCUAUAUUAUGCGAUAAGGUGUGCGUCGCAUACAUUACUACUCAAGUGACUUAAACACUCCAUUUUUGGGGCAAAAUGGUCCUUUUCCCACCCUUAUUUAGCCAUAAACACGAAAUUCAGGCCCCAAAUACCCCAAAAUACACCUUAAUUCAUCAAAAUUGCUCAAGAACUCUCCUUAGGAUUUCAAAAUAAAAACCCAAGCAACUCAAGAUUCAACCAUGGGUUUUUGAAACUAAUUGAAUAUUUGGAAUCCCCAGAACGUAGACUUCAAGAAAAACCUAUCAUCUUUGCAUAUAAAGGGACGUGGGGUUAUCCUAAAAUCUCAUGGGCCUUUAAAUUCAUAUUUUACUAUGGGGGUUUUGAAACUAUGAAUAUAAUCAUGUUUUAAACAUUUCUAUAAUAUUGAUUUGGUCUUUAGACCUUUUUUUGAAGUGAUUUGACAUAUUAUUAUGUAUAUGCAUGUGUUUCAAAAAGGUGUUAAUUUGAGAGCAUGAAUUAUAUGGAAUUCCUCUCUUGAUCUGAGUUUGUUUUAAAUGUUCAUAUGAAGUAAAUUGAUUGAAAACAUCUUGAAAAGCAUGACAUGAAAUGUUUUGAGAAUUGAUAUGAUUUUGACUUGAAAACGAGAGGGCUAUUUGUGUUGAAACAUGUUGAAUACAAUGGUUGAAUGAGAAGAAUGAUAUGAUAUUAAUGGCUUGCAAGUCGGGUAUGACGAUACCCUACAGAAUAUGAUAUGUGAUUGAAUUAGAUAAAAUUUGAAUGGAUUAAUUUACAUGAGAUAGGUGCAUGCCCGAAGAAGGCGUUUGAGUGUAAGGGCUCAUUGCUGGAAACCGUGUUUGCCGGCAUGAGAAUUUGGUACCCUACUUUGUGAUCUUGCGUACCUGAUUUUAUGUCAUUCCCAAGUUGAGACUAUGGUUAGGAUCCUGCUUUGUGAUCUUGUGCACUACCAUUGGAUUGAGACACCCUGCUGUGUGAUCUUAUGUGACUUCCUCUCACUUAUACUCUAAUCUCAGCGGCAACCGAGGUUUGAUAGUUGGUGUAAAUGUGAUAUGUAGGGUAUUCCACCUAGCUCAACUGCAUUACAUUGUUGUUGAAAACAAUUACAUUACGCCCAAGUGUUUUCAAAUGAUUUGAUAUGAAACUGCUUUAUAAUGGCUCUCAACUAUAUUUUGUAAAAAUAUUAUGUUUUGUUUUGGUAUCUCUGUGUACCAGUACUUUUGUAUUGGACCCCUUCCCUCCCAGGUUUAGAGGCACAGUCUAGGGGUCCAGAAAAUUAGUAGAUUCCUCAGACAGAUUUGCAGAGCCACUUGGUGAGCCUUCUAUAUUUUGAAAGGCCUGAUAUCUGGCAGUUUCAUUUAUCAUUUAUAUGUUUUGGGUCUACUGGGGCCUUGUCCCAGUUUUUAGAUAGAUAUUUAUUUCCGUCCUGUAGUAGAGAUUUCGCAGACGUUAUAGAGAUGUUGUGUUGAGAUUGUGGGACAUUAUUUCCCGUUAUUGAUUUCAUGUGAUUCUUGACCAUGUUUCCGUAAUAUUAUUUAUCUUCCGCAUUUCUUUUAUCAUAUGAGUUAUGUGUAUGAUUAUCAGAAAAAUAGGGGUGUUUCGGGACUUCAUGGUUUGGAAUGCUCAUCACGGCCACGGCCCUGGUUCGAGUCAUGAAAAACUUGGUAUCAAAGCACGGUUCAUGGUCCAAGAGUGUCUGCGAAAUCGCGUCGGGUAGAGUCUUGUUUAUGGGUGUGUAGCGUGCCACACUUAUAGGCAGGAGGCUACUAGGGAUUUAGGAAUGUCUCUCUUUCUUCAUGUUCCAGUUUGUGCAAUAGAGUCAAAAUAUUCCUCUUUCGUACUGUCAUUGGUGCUACGGUGUCACCCAUAUGAAGGUAAAGUCAUCCCAAAUUCUUUUCUUACUCUGAUGUUCUCAGGCAUGUCCCAUUAUUGGGGUGAUUCAAGUGCGAAAAGUUUAGAAUCUACAUGAUAUAGCCCUUUCCGAUUGAGCCAUAUAAGAUUUUAAAAAUUGUGCAAAGACUCGAGAGGAGUCUGUUAGUGCUUCAAUAUAUGUUGAUUCUGAUGUAAACAUUGAUCCUGAUGGAAUCGUGCUUUCCAGCUUAAGGUAUUAUGUGCAUCUAGUCCCUCUCAAAAAUCUUGAGAGGGACAAAUGUGGACGGUGUAUAGCAGAAUGUUGGAACUGUAUUUCCACCCAAAUAGUAGCAUAAGUUAAAGUGUUGUUGUCAUGACCUAUUGGUAAUGAAAUUAGACCAAGAAGUUAGUGGUGUGAAGUCACAAAGUUAGAAGUCAGAGUGGGGGUGAUUUUUGGUGUAAAUGAAUAUUUCAGUUGAAUAACCGAUGUUUGAGGAUGAUUUACCCCGUUAUAGUGAUAAACUAAUGUGGUAGCUAGUAGCAUGUGUGGAUGGUAUAGUAGUCCAUGGGGGAAGUAUUUUACUCAGAUUUUUAUUUAUACAGAGUAAGAUGUGUAUUCUUAGACCAUUAAAUAUUAUGUGUCAAUUUUCUAUCUCUUGUAAUAUUAUGUGUCAAUUUUCUAUCUCUUGUAAUAUAAAAUCUUGUUAUCAUGGUGCUUUUGAAAAAAAAGUUAAAGUCUAGUGAAUUCGUGUGGGGCUCUUUCGAUUCACUAUCAUAGUUUCUUUGUCAUCCAUCUCAUUUUCUUGUUCAAAAUACAAAACCAAAGUCUAGUAAAGUCAUGUGAGGCCUAUUUCGAUUCACUGGCAACUUGUUGUCCAACUUGUUGUUCUUUUGUUGGUUUAAUAUAUGCAUGGCUGAAUCUGUUUGCAUGAGAUUGAGUUGGUGAAGAGUUAUGAGUUAGUUUAGUAUAAGGUAAAGAAGGAGUUGUUAGUCAGGGUGAUUUGUUGGUUGCUUGAAUGUGAAAAAUAGCUAUAUUAGCGAGUAAGUUAUGAUUAUAGACUCAUGGUUGUUUGAGGAAUUUGAAGGCAGUCUAAAUGUAUGCUUGAGUAAGUAUGAGGUGAGAAAUCCGCAUAAGUAGAUAAGAUCGUAUGGGGUUAUAAUAUCAGAUUAAGGUUGAUCAUGUCUAUUAUGUGACCUUGCCCCUUGACUUUUUUCGUGGGUAGUUGUAAACUAGUACUACUUAUGAGAAGGUAUGUAGCAAAUUAUGAGGUAUUUGGAUAGAAUGUUCCAAUUUGAUGGAUUAGUAUAUUAUGUUGAACUCGUCAUUGGUGGUAGUCGAUUGACGCUACACUAUAGGCUUGAAUUCAAGUGUAGAAUGUGGUGGUAAAAAUAGUGGCAUGAGAUUAAUGAUGUAUGUUUUGAAUUUAGUAGGCUUGAUGUGUUGAAAUAGUACGUGCUAAUGAGUUAUGAUAAGGAAGACCGUAAGGUUAAUAUUGAUUAUUAUGGUUAUGAAGUUCUAGUGUACUAGUGUUUCUUGAUGUUUAUUUCAUGGUUUCCAAGUGAGAAUCACGCGUAAGGUUGGGUUGAAAAAUCAUGUUUAGCACUAGACCUUAAGUUUUGAAUAGUUGAAGUUCAUGAAGGUGAAUGUGAUGAUUUCUUGGUUAAUGAUGCUAGUUAUAUGGUAAUGGAAGUGAUCUAAUAGUCUUGAACAGUGUAUGAAAUGGCUUAAGUUUAAGUUGAUUUGUAAUGAAGUAUAAUGUUGUAGGUAUGGUGUGUAAGUAUGCCCAAGGUGAUAUGGAGUUGUGGCAUUUCUCUAAGACUAUUACAUAUUGCGUGUGACUAGUGGUACCAUUGAGUUGCUAGUUGGAAAAAGACUAGUUAGAUGGGAUAUGGUGUUCUAGAUAGCCAAGUUAAGGAGCCUUGAUUGAUAGUGUUGAGCCUUUUGAUAUGAUCUCGAUUCUCGUGGUAGAGAGAUAUAAGUUUGGAGUAGCAAUAUUGGUAUGCUAGGACAGAAGUGGUAUGGUUCAUCAAAGGCUUGGUGAUAUCCAUGUUAAGUGUUAGAAUCUAAGUUUGAGUUUUGAAAGUUGAACCGAUAGAAAUAAGUGUGCAAGCAUUAUACUAUGACUAUUGGGACUAUCGAAAUAUAGAGUGUAUCUCAGAAGGUAGUAUUAGCAGUAGGAUUUCCACUUUCAUGUGAGGGCUUUCGGGUUAAGUUAUAUUAAUUUUGUGUAUUGUCAUAUUUCAGAGAGUGCAGUGAGUGCGGUUAACUUUAAAGUCUAGUAAGGGAUCUCCCAAAUUUAAGAUGAUGGCUUAAAGCCAAGGGGGAGAUGAUAGAACGAAUAACCAAGUCAGGCUCUCAGAUUCUAGUAGUGAUGUCAUGGCGACAUAGAACAUUAGAAAGUGAGAGUGAGACUCAACCCAUUCCUAUCUCAGUAUUUUUCAGUAAUCCCGAUGCAUACUCAUGCCUUACAUGUCAGUUCGAUAAUCGUAGUUCAUGAUCAUUCUUGUGAUAGCGAAUCAUGUACUCUUCCAGUUCUAAAAUGAAGAGUUCCAGUUCAUUCAGUAGUUGGAAUUACAUUCCAUAUGUUACAAACUCCAAAUUGAGGUCAUGCAGCUCAUGAAAUAUAUGUUUGCGCCCUUUAGUAUGCUCAGUCUCCAUAACUCAUAUUUUACGCCAAAUGAUUGGCGAGAUUCAGGUUAUAGCCAUGAAUACCCUAAAUUCAGAGUGCUUUGAUAAAUCCCGAAUGUUGAUUUGCUAUUCCUCAUGCCUCAGUUAAGUGUUAAGUUUCAUAUAAUACCCUUCUAUGUUUCAAAAUCUUAUGUUUUAGCCUUUUGUGACUCCUUCUUAUGUGAGGAUGGUUGUGAGGAGUAAAUGUUUUCCUUUUGAUAAAAAGCAUAGUAUGCUUGUUUUAGAUAAGGCCUUAAGUGUUAAGUAAGUUUGGGGUCAAAUCUUUGAUAUAUGUGAUGGUUAGUGAGAAUUUAUGUGUGUAUAUUCUUGGGAUAGCGUGUGGGAGUUAUAUUGAUAGUGGUUUAGAGAAUAUGUGAAGUAUGUCCUUAUGGGUAUUUGCCUUGGAGGUCAUAUGUGGUUAUAAAGAUAGGCUUGAAAGACAUGUUGGGAUUUUAGUGGAGGGACACAAUAUACUCUAGUAAAUCCAUAGUAAGAGUUUAGAGCUAGUCGUUGAAGUGGUAAGGCAUGUUAUGCUUAGGGUGUGAUCUCUAAAGAGGAUACAGAAGACUGAAUCAUAUGGUUUAGACUAGUAUCGUGGUGUGGCAUGUUGUAUUUUGUGAUUUAAAAUUUGGCUUGAUCACCGUAAAAGGAUUUAAGCUACUUUAGACAAUAGUAAAAAGAUUUAUAAGGAUUAUAACUUGAAUCAAUGAGUAUGGUAAUUAAGGAGAAUAGUAAGUUAAGGGAUACUCGAGAAGUGUGUUAAGAUUGAAAGUAAGAAGUCGCAUUAACUAUGGCCUGGUAAUUUUAUCCUGAUUUAUGAGUUAUAUGUCUAUAUUCCAGACUGCAGAGUAGUGUAAAUGUUGUGAUUUCCUCAGUUGGAUGUCUCGUGUAAUCCAUACCUAAGAUUCGUGGCUCUCUAUUACUGCUAUAACUUCUUUAGAGAGAGUAUUGAAGAGAUACUCCAGAUUGAGUAUAAGUUUCCAGUAUAGUUCAGUCUAUGUGGCCAGCAAAUCAGUUUAGCAGUCAGAUUCACAUGACUUGUUUUCUCGUCUCUUUAUUGAAUCAUGCUACCCAAAAUCUCAGAUAUGUUACUAUUCCAAGAUAGAGUAUACUAGUAUUUGCGAGUAUAGCUCAAUUCANNNNNNNNNNNNNNNNNNNNNNNNNNNNNNNNNNNNNNNNNNNNNNNNNNNNNNNNNNNNNNNNNNNNNNNNNNNNNNNNNNNNNNNNNNNNNNNNNNNNNNNNNNNNNNNNNNNNNNNNNNNNNNNNNNNNNNNNNNNNNNNNNNNNNNNNNNNNNNNNNNNNNNNNNNNNNNNNNNNNNNNNNNNNNNNNNNNNNNNNNNNNNNNNNNNUUCAUGAGAAGAACUCAGUCACAGAUCCAUGCAUUAGAUAUGCAUGGUCAUUAUGAGAAUUCAGCUUAUGAAUAGCUUCAGCCGUGUAUUCCAUGCAUCAGAUAUGCAUGUCCGAUAUAAGAAUUCAGAAUAUCAAUAGUUCCAGCCAUAUGGCCAUGUUUCAGAUCAGUGUAUUCUUUAUUAGAGGACAUGUCGUAUCCGCGUUAUUCCAUACCUUUAAGGCUUCAACAAAUUCCUACGCAUCAUUCGAGGACGAAUGAUCCCAAGGGGGAGAUAAUGUAACACCCCAUACUUUCAGACUUGAACGUAAAUUGUCAUUUCUACUUGUAUACAUUCCAAAAACCAUAAAUCUAUUGUGAAUAUAGUGUUUUAAUCAACUAUGUGGUGUAUAAAUCUAGUUGAGCAUGAAUUGAGAUCAUAGAGCCCUAACUCAAGGACGAGUUGAAAGCUUUUCCAUCGAUUGAGUUUUAGUAAGCGUCAAAACUUGGGUCAACUUCAAUCGGUCAUUACUCUUUGUAUAUAUUGAAUUAGAGUUCCUACUAUAUAUCAAAUGAAAGGCCUUCAAAUAAGCUUUCCAACUAUACUAAUUUCGCAAAAAUCCGACACCCGAGGAAGAAGUUACGGCUUUACAAAGUGGAGUGUAUCAUGCAGCAUAAGGUGUGCGCCUAACUUAUGCCAUAAGAUGUGCGACGCACAACCUAAUGUGUGCGAUAAAGAGUGCGCCGCACAACCUAUAUUAUGCGAUAAGGUGUGCGCCGCAUACAUUACUACUCAAGUGACUUAAACACUCCGUUUUUGGGACAAANNNNNNNNNNNNNNNNNNNNNNNNNNNNNNNNNNNNNNNNNNNNNNNNNNNNNNNNNNNNNNNNNNNNNNNNNNNNNNNNNNNNNNNNNNNNNNNNNNNNNNNNNNNNNNNNNNNNNNNNNNNNNNNNNNNNNNNNNNNNNNNNNNNNNNNNNNNNNNNNNNNNNNNNNNNNNNNNNNNNNNNNNNNNNNNNNNNNNNNNNNNNNNNNNNNNNNNNNNNNNNNNNNNNNNNNNNNNNNNNNNNNNNNNNNNNNNNNNNNNNNNNACCUAUCAUCUUCGCAUAUAGAGGUACGUGGGGUUAUCCUAAAAUCUCAUGGGCCUUUAAAUUUAUGUUUUACAAUGGGGGUUUUAAAACUACGAAUAUAAUCAUGUUUUGAAUGUUUCUAUAAUAUUGAUUUGGUCUUUAGUCCUAUUUACGAAGUGAUUUGACAUAUUAUAUAUGUAUAUGCAUGUGUUUCGAAAAGGUAUUAAUUUAAGAGCAUGAAAUAUAUGGAAUCUCUCUCUUGAUGUGAAUUUGUUUUAAAUAUUUAUAUGAUGUAAAUUGAUUGAAAACAUCUUGAAAAGUAUGACAUGAAAUGUUUUGAGAAUUGAUAUGAUUUUGACUUGAAAACGAUAGGGCUAUUUGUGUUGAAACAUGUUGAAUACAAUGGUUGAAUGAGAAGAAUGAUGUGAUAUUGAUGGCUUGCAAGUCGGGUAUGAUGAUACCCUACAAAAUAUGAUAUGUGAUUGAAUCAAAUGAAAUUUGAAUGCAUUAAUUUUUCAUGAGAUAGGUGGAUGCCCGAAGAAGGCGUUUGAGUGUAAGGGCUCAUCGCUGGAAAUCGUGUUUGCCGACAUGGAAAUUUGGUACCCUGCUUUGUGAUCUUGCGUACCUGACUUUAUGUCAUUCCCAAGUUGGGACUAUGGUUAGGAGCCCUACUUUGUGAUCUUGUGCACUACCAUUGGGUCGAGACACCCUGCUGUGUGAUCUUGUGUGUAUUCCACCUAGCUCAGCUGCAUUGCAUUGUUGUUGAAAACAAUUACAUUACGCCCAUGUGUUUUCAAAUGAUUUGAUAUGAAACUGCUUUAUAAUGGCUCUCAACUAUAUUUUGUAAAAAUAUUAUGUUUGUUUUGGUAUCUCUGCAUACCAGUACUUUUGUAUUGACCCCCUUCCCUCCCAGGUUCGGAGGCACAUUCUAAGGGUUCAGAAAAUUAGUAGAUUCCUCAGACAGAUUUGCAGAGUCACUUGGUGAGCCUUCUAUAUUUCGGAAGGCCUGAUAUCUGGCAGUUUCAUUUAUCAUUUAUAUGUUUUGGGUCUACUGGGGGCCUUGUCCCAGUUUUUAGCUAGAUAUUUGUUUCAGUCAUGUAGUAGAGAUUUCGCAAACGUUAUAGAGAUGUUAUGUUGAGAUUGUGGGACAUUAUUCCCCAUUAUUGAUUUCAUAUGAUUCUUGACCAUGUUUCCAUAAUAUUGUUUAUCUUUUACAUUUCUUUUAUCAUAUGAGUUAUGUGCAUGAUUAUCAGACAAAUAGGGGUGUUUCGGACCUUCAUGGUUUGGAAUGCUCAUCACGGCCAGGGCCCGGUUCGGGUCGUGACAUAUACAGGCAUAGUAUUCAAUACAUGUUUGAUUAAUAUUAUCUUACCUCGUGUUGACAACCUGUUACAUUGCCAUGUUCCUAUCUUUUUGAGGAUUCUUGUAGCCAUAUCUGCAAAGUAUUCAAUCUUUUUUGUGCCUGCAAACAAAGGACAACCCAAAUAGGUGAUAGGAAAUUCUUUCUUCUUCACCUGAAGGAUUCUAGACACUAUAUUGAUCCUUUUAGCAGAUAUGUCCAUGUCCAUUAAGAAGCAACUCUUUUCUCUAUUUAUUUGUUGUCCAGAGCUCUACUCGUAUUUCUUUAGGCAAUCUGUGAUCAACUCUAGCGUUUUGGUUUUACCUGAACAAAAGAUAAUUAAGCCAUCAGCAUGAUUAAUUUUUGGUCCAAUGGUAUUCAUAGUGGAACCAUUGAAAAAAGGAUUUUCAAAGAGUUUAUUAAGCAUUAAAGAAAGGACUUCUGCAGCUAUAAAAAGAGAAGGUGAUAUAGGAUCUCCCUGUUUGACUCCUCUUUGGGAUUGAAAGAAACCAUGUCUUUUGCCAUUGAUGAUAACAGUAUACCAAUUAUUUGAUAAGAGAUUCCACGCAUUGUGUAUCCAUCUAUCAUCAAAUCCCAUCCUUUUCAUAACUGUACAGAUAAAUUGCCACGAGAUCCUAUCAUAAGCUUUAUUCAUAUCAAUCUUAAAGACAACAUUUCCCCCUUUGUUCUUUCUUUUAAUCUCAUGGAUUAUCUCUUGUGCCAGUAGAACAUUCUCACCAAUUGCUCUUCCUUUGAUGAAACCGCUUUGAUUCUGAGAAAUGAUCUUUGGGAGAAUGUGAGUGAGCCUGUGGUUCAUGACUUUAGAGACAAUUUUCAGGGUGAUUACUAAGACUAAUAGGCCUAAAAUCAGAGAAAGUUUGAGGUGACUCUACUUUAGGAAGUAGAACCAGACAUGUGUUGGUAAAGUAUUUAGGCAUUUGAGCACCAUUGAACACUGUUUUGACUAGUUGAAUAAUGUCUUCUCCAACGAUAUCCCAGGCUUUUUGAAAGGAAAGUGCACUGAAACCAUCUGGCCCCGGAGAACUAAUAGGAUUAAUACCAAACAAUGCCUCUUUAAUCUCCUCAGCAGUAGGCUCCAUAACCAGUGUUUGAUUGUCUUCUUCUUCAAUACAUUGAGGAAUAAGAUCCAGAACACUGUUGUCCACCAUAAUAUUUCCCUGGGAAAAAAAGAUGUUAGUAGAAUUUUGCAGAAGCUUUGCCUAUCUCUUCUUCACCCUCUAUCCAUUUGUCAUCAUCAACCUUGAUUCUAUGAAUUUGAAGAAAAUUUCUUCUACCUUGGACAAUAGAGUGAAAGUAUUUAGUGUUUUCAUCUCCCUCCGGAUUCCAUUUGAGAUUUGCCUUUUGUCUCCAGAAUGUAUCAACAUAUUUGUGUUGGAUGAUCAAUUCAGCCUUGGUUCUAUUUAUAUUCAUUCUGUCAGUCGGGUCCAGUGUGGUCAUGUAUUUUUCCUCACUUUGUGACACCGCUUUUUCAAACUGUUGAGUUUUCUCAAAAAUAUUGCCAAUAUUGAGUUUAGACCAAAUACUCAAUGCUCUGCUAGUAUGCUUCAUUUUCUGAUGUACCUACCAAAAAAUAGUGCCAUUAAUCUGAAUAUCCCAACUAUCUCUAACAAUGUUUUGAAAAUCAUCAUAUUCUGGAAAAGAAGAAGGAAACAGAAAAGAAAGAGACACAAGAGAAAGCUCAACAUGGACUUGAUCAAACUUCUACAGAACAACCCAAGAGUAUUACAAACAAUCACGAUGAGCUACACAACAAUCCAAAUGAGCAUCAAGAAACUCGAAAUAGGGGAAGAGAUGCGUCGAUUAACAAUGCCCCCUCAAAAAGAAGUUUUAGAGGAAGGAGUGAACCCCCUAAAGGGACUUACCUGCCAACUGGGAACAUAUUUGGGAUUGAUAAGCCUCAUCCUACUUCAUUAGCUGGAUUUGUCAACCAAGAGGGCAUCACAAAAUUGAAUAACGUCGAGGAAAAUCAAGAACAAGCCAACAAACAAAUUAUGACACAUGAAGUGCCAAAAGACAAAUCCAAUAUUGCUAUGUAUGAAGGAGGAAAGGAUCUUGCAAAGGACAAUAGCAACAAUAUCAAUGAUGAAGCUGGAAUACAAAAAGAGCCUACAGUUCCAGAACCAAAUAACACGAUAACCAUCAAAAACAACCAGGAACUCCAAAUAGACAUUCUUGAUGAUGAAUUGGGAAGAAGUGGGAAGUGAAAAAAGCAAGAAGUUAGGAAGGAAAGUUGGAUCUCGUGGAAGGGCGCAAGAACCUGGGGAAAUAAGUGAGGAAGCAAUUGCUGCUAUCACGCAAAACAGCUUUGAUGAGCUAAUGGAGGAAGAAGAAGAACAAUUGGUUAGCACAGGUAAGUCCAAGCCAAAAGGUAACAACAAAAAGGAAAAUGUUACAGAUGAUGAAGACUCCAAAUCCCAAGAUGAAUGGGCCGACAGAACCUCAUCCGAAGAAGAGGACACUUCUAAGGAGUCUUCAGGAGAGGAAGGAGAUAUACCAGAUAAAGAGAAAUUAUGCACAAAUAUUGGAAGGAAAGAUAAUAGUGAAACAGUGAAAGAUAAAGGAAAGCAAGCUAUAUUAAGGCAAACUCUUAAAUACAAAAGUGAGCAGGAUGUCACGGGUAUUCAUAACACAAGGAGUAAGAACGGGAUCUCAAGAAAAAAAAAUUCUAAAUAAUCUUUCAAUGAUUAGAGCUCUCAAUUGGAACAUAAGGGGCAUGAAGUCUCAAGCCUCAACAGAGAGGUUAAGAUUCUUGAUUGAUAGUCAUAAUAUCUCUUUAGUUGCGAUUCAGGAACCUUUUGUUAAAGAGACAAAAAUUGAGAAGUACAAGAAUUCUUUGGAUAUGCAUAAUUGUUUUGCAAAUUGUAGCAACAAGAUUUGGAUCUUCUGGAAACAUGGCUUGGAUUGUUCGAUCCACUCUAGUGAAGAUCAAAUGACUACUGGUAGGAUUUUAUGGGAAGGCCAUUACUUUUUUCUAUCAAUAGUGUAUGCUAAAUCAACUACUUUGGGUAGGGAGGAUUUAUGGAUGUACAUGAGAGCCUUUACUACUACUAUCAGUUCUCCUUGGGCGGUUAUUGGUGAUUUUAAUAGCAUACUAAGUGCGGAAGAAAAAUUAGGGGGCAAACCCCAUAAACUUAGCAAGAGUAUCCCUUUUAUGGAGUGCUUAUAUGACUUUUCUCUUACUGAUAUUGGCUAUACUGGUAGUAGCUUCACCUGGGGUAAUGAGCGAAAAGAACAAAGUAUUAUCUGGAAGAGAUUAGAUAGAAUGGUUUGCAAUAACUCUUGGAAUGAUAGCGUCUCCCAUUGUAAUGUUCAUCAUCUUCCAAGAGUUGGAUCUGACCACUGCCCCCUACUAAUCACUUUCGGCAACAACAUUGACCAUCAUAUAAAGUACUUUAGAUUUCUUAACUUCUGGCCAGAAAAGUUCUAAACUUUCGUCAACUUUUUGACACUUGCAGUUUUUUCUACCUAAAUUUGGGGGUGGGGGUCAUAAAUAUGUGUGAGCUAAUUUCUGCAAAAUUAGUACUAAUGUACAACAAUAGAUAGUAUUAGUUUAUAAUUAUAAUGUUUUCUAUAACUGAAAUGUUCGAGUCAGCUUACUUGUCAACUCAUGUCAGCAACCGAUACCAUGUAACUUUAUAUCGAACAAUUUAUGAACAUUUAAUAAAUAAUUUGAAUUCAGCUAAAUCUAUAUGUUACGUGUUAUUCUCCUUGAAAGUGAAAUGACCUUGACACAGAAAAUCUGUUUAAAAGGUUUUAAAAAGGUUGUCAUAAUGCAUUGAAAUCUAUUAUCUAAGCAAUAUUUUAGGCAAAUAUGUUACUAUCUUAAAGUUACAAAGUAAUGGGAAACUUUCAAAAAUAGUGUAUGUUUCAAAAAGAGUUCACCAAACUUGUUUUUGGUGAAACAUACACUAUUGCAAAAUCACGCGUUAUAUAACAGACUUGUAUUUUAAUGAAUGUGGAUGAGUUUAUCUAUCAAGUCGAAGGAAAAACAAUCAUCCUUCAUCAUUUUUUUAAUUUUUAAUUUUAUUGUAUACCUCAUGCACAUGUAUGCGUUUAUUCAUAAAGGGAUCUUUUCAACUCAAUGAACAAAGUAUUAUAAUUUGUUCUGAAUUUUCUAAUUUACUUGAAUUCUGGCAUAAUUGGUGUGUCAUUUAAGAGUAUUGCUUGGGGGAGAUUUUCUCUCAAGUGAUUUUUAUGCUUUUUAACAUUAGCUUUCAUAAUAUGUAGGUUACUGAUCAAAUCUUAUCAAAUAAUAUUCGUUUUAGUAUGUUUUUCUUUGUCAUCUGAUUUAUCGCCUUAAUGGACAAAGGUCAAAGACUCUUGUAAUUUAUCCAUUUCUCAUUUACAACAUACCCAGUGAAAUGAAAUAAUACCUGUAUAGAGGGUACUACACAGAUUGAUAUGAGAUACACGUGUGAUGUGCAUGACACACAAGAUGCAACGUAACAUCCGCAUAUACUAAUUUUAUUCAAUGUACUUGAGGGGUUUUAGGCCACCAAUUUCAUUGGACCGCCCUUGGGUGGACGAAGCAGAAGCGGAAAUUUCAGUAUAUCCUUUAAAGCCUGGUGACUUUCUGGAUUCUUUUUACAUAAGAAAAAAUUGGGAUUUCAAUAUACUUUGUAGCUAUAAUUCUGUGACAAAUUAUAUUUGCCUAGCUUAUGCACAUUUCUGUGUGUAGGCUACAUAUUCUAUUCUGACUUCUCAAGUUUCAGUUUAUCUCUUUUGGAAAUUCAAGAACUUGAUGGCAUAAGCAAAAAUAAAACAGAAGAAAAUUGCCCAUACAACAUGCACUGCAGCAACAACUCCCAGGAAGUCAUGCUCAAAACCAAAGCUCUCCUUCAGAUACAACUUUAAUGAUACCUCGCCACCUCCUGGAAUCUCAAUGGGGUUGAUUUUGUCACCUACUUGAGACGUUACAAGGCCAUAUAUUGUCCAUGCCACUGGAGAACCCCAAUAAUACCAUCUCCACCAUAUCGGAAUUUGCUGCAUAUGUAAUCAUGAUUUUAUCAGAAAAAAUAUGUGUGAUAGCAAGAUUCUUUUUAAGUUACUAUUUUCAUCAUGUAGUGCUUGGUGUAUACUUACCGUUCUUGGAAUGAGGAAACCGGAGAACAAGUUCCAAAAGCUGAGGAAGAAAGACAUUACGAUAGCAGCAAUGUGGUAGUUCGGAGUGAGUGCAACAAGCAUCAUACCAUACAUCGUGAAGUAGACAAAGCACAUGAAAACAAAGAAGUAGAACAAAAAGAACUUUCCAACUGUCCAGUGGAACCCGAUCAUUGCAUAAAGAAUUAGGCUGUAAACUAAAGUUUGAAUCGCGACAUAGAUAGUCUCUAUUGCCACCUGCAUACGGCAUAAGUACAAAUUACUUCUUAACAGCCAAUUGAUAUUCUAGAAAAUAUUACAGUACAUGUUUAGUUGAUGUUACUCUUACCUGAGCAAAUGCAUAAGGGAGUGCUNNNNNNNNNNNNNUUUUUCCCGGUAAAAGACUGUCCUUUCUACAGAAACAACAGACUGUACGGCUGAAGUAUUAGUUCCACCUAGGAACAUAACUGCAGCAUACAUAGCUCCAACUAUAUUUAACAGGUCUUGUAGUUUGGACCUGUUGUCACGAUUAGUCUAUGAGAUAAAAAGUGAUGACAGAAAUAGCAAAAUUUUAUUGUGCAGUGUUGGUUUUGGGAGUCGAAGAAGAUUACUCACAGUUGGUUCCCCUUGUUCCAAAAAAUGAUUCCGAAUAUUACUCCAAUCAUUGUUGUCAUAGCAAACCGAACGGCAUUAUACUGUGGAUGCCUCCAAUAGGACAAGUGUUGUUUCCAAAAGCAAGCCUUGCACUGUUCAAAAAACGACUGGGAGUAUUCCGUGGGGAAGUGAAGAUCUUUGGAUCCUGGGGCGGGAGUGCUUAGUUCUUUGAUAAGUUCUUGAUUCCUCCUGCAAAACCGAGUAAUGUAGGUCGAAGGGUUAGUAAUACCAAACCAGAAAGUAAAAAUAAAAAUACUACUCAAUCUUCUAAAUCACCUAUAAUAAAAAUACUACUCAAUCUUCUAAAUCACCUAUACAAAUCAGAGUUGGCAUAAAUGUCAGCAAAGUCUACUUGAAGUUGAGUCUCAACAGCCGAAGCCGAGAUAUCCAGCAUCCAAGUAGCAGGAUUAUAGCCUUCUUUGAUUUCAGGAACCCCUGGAAUAGACUAAGAAAAAAAAAGUUGUUUAGUUGUUGAUUUGUCCUAAUAGUCACCCGCACCCAUAAUCUGAUAAAGACAUGAUCCUCACUUGAAAAUAUUCGAUCAGUAGGUGAGAAUGAUGACCAAGAGGCCCUGCAUAUAUGACUUGUCCUCCUCUUUUCAUCAAUAACAGCUGCAAGAAAAUCAGUAGAAAUGAUUAUGACAACAAGCAGGUAUCCACAGAACAUAAGUUAUGAAGUCCAACAUUGCUUGCAGUAAUUACCUCAUCAAAUGCUUCGAAGAUAUCUAUGCUUGGUUGGUGGAUGGUGCAGACAACAGUUCUGCCGGUAUCCACAGUGUUUCUCACAGUUCGCAUCACAAUUGCUGCAGCUCUAGCAUCAAGCCCUGAUGUUGGUUCAUCCAUGAAAAUAAUAGAUGGAUUUGCUACCAGCUCUACAGCUAUAGUAAGCCUCUUCCGCUGUUCAGUUGAGAGACCAUCUACCCCUGGAAGGCCUACGAGGGAGUCCCUCAGUGGAUUCAACUCAACUAGCUCCAUUAUUUCCUCAACAAAAUUCUAAACAUGAACAAAAAUCGAAGUCAGUCCUUGACAACCUUUUCUAUGAAAACUGUCAGGAUUUUUUAGGAGGAUAAUCCGAAGUACAAAGCAAGACUUCAUUAAUAAUACGAAGUAAAAGGAUAAGAUAAGAGCGCACACCUUCCGUGUAUGUUCUUUUACGUCUGGAGAGAGACGCAACCAAGCUGAGUAUACCAAUGACUCAUAAACAGUAACAUGUGGAGAAUGAAUGUCAUUCUGUUCACAAUAACCACUUAUGCGAGCAAAAGUUGAUUGAUUCUUUGGAUAACCAGAAAUGUUGAUGCUUCCUUCAAUGGAGCCUUCUGUUUUCCUUCCUGCUAAGACAUCCAUCAAUGUGGUCUUUCCAGCACCACUCACACCAACUAAGGCCGUUAGGACUCCAGGCCUGAAAGCACCACUGACAUCUCGUAACAAUUGGAGACGAGUCUCGUCAACUCCUUGGGCUUUCAUUUCCUGAAUAAGUAUUAGAACCAUAUUAAGCCACAGGCUGUCAUAACAGAUUGUUUGGUAACUCAAGAAAGCUUAUUAGUUUAGGAACUUUGAUCAGAAUCUCUAGAAAAUUCUCUGAAUUAGUACAUGUGACUAAUAAUGGAAAGCAAGUAGUUCUUACAAACAUGACGUGUUAUUGUUGUAUCACCAUUUUCAUUCAGACUGGAGAAGUUGGCUUGUAUGUCUAAAACAGUAGUUAACUAACAGGCAGGUGUUUUCAACCUGUUAGUAAACAUUAAGCUUUAAAACAACAUUAAGCUUUAAAACAAGUAUAUAUUAACAAGUUAACGUUUAAAUACCUUGGGAAGCAACUAUUCUUGAUUGCCAGAUAAUUAGUAAAAAACAAAUCAUAACAAAGUCAACGUUUAAAUACCAAGAAAAGUUACUUACAGCUGGCAUAUCGACAUAAUAAUUGAUAUGAUUAAAUGCAAGGGACAGUGGCUGGAAAGGAAGCACCAUUCCUCUUCUCUUGGCUUCUUCAAUACUUGAGUUGUUAGUGUUUCUUACAUCCAUAAUUAUACCUGUAAUAAUUAUUCAGGGUAUUAGACUACUUACAAAGUGUAUAGCCAACACCAGAAUCGCGAACUUGCGAGAUAGUUUACAGACCUUCAAGACAAUUAUUAAAAACAAAACCAUUUUGUACAAAUAAAAGCUGUAAAAAUGAGAACUAGAAAAAAUCAGUAGUCUCGACCUUCAGUCAUUGGAGCUGUAGAUGCUGAACUCCAUUGCAUGCGCUUCUUCUUCUUACUUUUGUCAUCAUCUGAAAUAACUGAUCUAGAAUCUCCAAAUGCUGCAUUUUUCUUACAUGAACUGAUCAGAACCAAAGACAAUUUAAAACUUUAAAUAGUGUGGAAAAUCUGGGACUUACGGUUGAUAUAUGUCAGUGCCAGGAUAAAGCAAAAGUUGAACAAAAAUGAGAACGCAAAUAGGGCAACAACACAGAACCAGAAAACACGGUCUUCUGUAUACAUGCUCCUUGCCUUGAGAAGAACCUUGCCGACCGUUGGCUCAGAAAAUCUCGGGUCAUUGUUGGGCUGCAAAUAUGGAUAGAAUGUGUCAAGAUAAUUAAUGUUGAUGAAAGAAGUUAAGCCAAUAUAUGCUGCUAUUUUUGUGAAAUGGUAGAGCUUACAGUAUUCCAUCUUUCGUCCAGAAACUCAUUGAUGGCCAGGGCAUUCUGUCCAUAUGUCAUAGGAGAUAUGUAGUAGCCCCAUCUUAUCCAUGGUUCCAGGUCAUCUGCACCAGUACAUAAAAAUGCAUUCAAAAUAUUGGACAUGCCAUGUGAAAUUGUCAAUUUUUUAUGACAACCGCAGCCGCCACCCAUCAGGGGAGCAUAGGGUAAAUAUCGCUCCAGUGCAAUAGUCGCAAACCACACAGGAGAGGUAAACCACACUAGGCACAUCUCGUGCGAUGAGCUUGGCCGAAAAAGCAUGCAGGGUGUUUUGAACCUCAGAGCCACAAUUUGGGAGAUCCCCUGCUCGACCAACUCGGCCACCCUUGCGGGUCGUGUGAAAUUGUCAAUUUUGUAGAUCUCCUGUGCACCUAUAGUCCUAGACUAUAAAAAAAAACUCUCUGUAACAGAACAGAGAAGUUUCCAAAUUCCGAGUGUAGUUGAAAACUAACCUUUUGCGACGAUGAAACCACCAAGCACAAAGACUAUCAGUAUUGUGAAAGUUGCAAAAGUGCCAGCAACUACUUGAGUCCUUCCGAGUGCACCAACAAAACGGAAUAGAGAUAAAGCCGACUGAUGCAAAGCAAAAAAUACCAAGAAUUGGCGAAAAAACCUGAAAAUGUUGUAGGUACAAGAAUGUAAGAUUGAAUUCAUAUAAUCUAAACUAAUUGUCAUAUGUGCACCAUGAAUAUACACUGACCAAAUUUCAUGACUGAACAGUCUAACAAAUAAGCCACAUUUCACCACAAGAUAUUUUGGCUGUUAGGAUUGAGCUAAGAACAUACCUAGUAGCAUCAGGAGCAAACCCGAUGGUGUAGUAAGUAAGUAAGAUCCAUAUCAGUGACUCCAUAAAAGAAAGGGGAAUUCUUAAAAGCCAAAUGGGGAGAGCGAAAGCCCAAGCUGGGUAAAACAAAGAAUCUCUCUGCUUAAAGAACACGGGAAGUCUGAAAACGGUAAGUGCAAGCUCUGCUGUACCAUUAAACAUCACAUUGAUGAGGCUGAAAAACAAGGCACCAUAAAAUUUGCCUCCAUCUGCGAUCUGACCAGUUUUCAUCUCUGUCCUAAAGAAUACUGUGAAGGCAAUAAUUGACAUUACAGUGAUCUGGAAUGUCUUAAAUAUGUAUAGGAAGGAAUUCCGCUUCAUCAAUAGCCAUUCCCUCGAUAAGCAUGCCUUUAGGAGUUCCAUGUUGGAGAUACCAUACUUCUCGGUAACCAGUGCAGCAGGAUGGGCUUUGCUUUUGUCAUAACGAACUCCAAGGUCAUUAAAAAGUUGCUGCCCGACAUGGAAGUUGCUAAAGCGUUCUGCGAAUUCAGCCACUGAAAUAUAUUGGUAAGGUUCAUUUUUCCUGAACCAAUAUUGUUCUUGGUCCUUAAGAGAAGUAACCUCUUGCAGAAAGUCAG